UACGAAGGGGGCUAGCGUUGCUCGGAAUCACUGGGCGUAAAGGGUGCGUAGGCGGGUCUUUAAGUCAGGGGUGAAAUCCUGGAGCUCAACUCCAGAACUGCCUUUGAUACUGAGGAUCUUGAGUUCGGGAGAGGUGAGUGGAACUGCGAGUGUAGAGGUGAAAUUCGUAGAUAUUCGGAAGAACACCAGUGGCGAAGGCGGCUCACUGGCCCGGUACUGACGCUGAGGUGCGAAAGCGUGGGGAGCAAACAGGG
rnacentral:rRNA from 1 species